AUGAAGUCGUGGACCCUUAUCAUCCGACAGACACUUCUCGCUCACAUCCCUCAUCCACUUUCAACGUUUCUAGAGAGGUCAUCAAGACUGGAUGUGUUACAACGUCAAUGUUCAUAGCAUUUCGCAAGUUUAUCCGGGAUGAGAAACAGAGGUCAUGUUGCCUCUUUGGGCAAAUUUGGUUC